GCAUCCACUUCAAACUGCAAUUUUUUUAGUUUUUGCCAGCUAGAUCCCAGCUUAAUCAAAUCACCCUCCCCAAUCACUCUACAAUUCUUAAUUGAAAGUUCUUCAAGUGUUUCAAGCUUGGCAAGAUAUUCCAGCCAUUCAACACUGGUAACAUUGAGACACCGGUUAAGGUGGAGAAUGGUGAGUUUUUUGCAACCCACAACAAGAGAUAAGAUGCCACAACCAGUUAUUCUUGGUGUGAAAUUCAACUUCA
rnacentral:misc_RNA from 1 species